rnacentral:rRNA from 1 species
UACGGAGGGUGCAAGCGUUGUUCGGAAUUACUGGGCGUAAAGCGCACGUAGGCGGAUUUGUAAGUCGAGUGUUAAAUCCCUGGGCUUAACCCAGGAUCUGCAUUCGAAACCGCAAACCUUGAAUGCUAGAGAGGGUGGGAGAAUUCCUGGUGUAGAAGUGAAAUUCGUAGAUAUCAGGAGGAAUACCUGAGGCGAAGGCGCCUGCCUGGCUAUGCAUUGACGCUGAGGGUGCGAAAGCGUGGGGA